rnacentral:lncRNA from 1 species
UUUGAUUGCUCUCUUCCACUAUCCCUUCCAUCCCCUUUCUGAAUAGCUUGAUCUUGGUGUUGCACUGGAAGUUGUUGUAUCCCUACUAAUUCUUCCUCUUGAGCCUUCCCUGUACUCUAGAGCUAACUUUGCGUCCAUAAGUAGCUAUUGUUUUUGUUUUAUUUCAUCCUCAGCCUCUUCCUCUCCUUUUUUCCAUGGCGAUUUCAUAGUGGCGCAGGUUAACUAACGUGCACAGAGAGCAUGGGAAGAGAGAGCAAAUUCAUAUUGGAAAUGACGGUGUUUAUAGCUUCUUGGCAACAUUUAGCAAGUACCUUCACAGUUACAACACAGUAAUUGUUAAUUUUUCUCUCUCAUAGUGCUAGUAGAGAAGCAAGAAGAUAUAGAAAGAUGAUUUUAUCAACAAAUUUAGUGAGCAAUGU